rnacentral:rRNA from 1 species
UACGUAGGGUGCGAGCGUUAAUCGGAAUUACUGGGCGUAAAGCGUGCGCAGGCGGUUCGUUAAGUUCGUUGUGAAGGCCCCGGGCUCAACCUGGGAACUGCAAUGGAAACUGGCGGGCUUGAGUGCGGCAGAGGGGGGUGGAAUUCCGCGUGUAGCAGUGAAAUGCGUAGAGAUGCGGAGGAACACCGAUGGCGAAGGCAGCCCCCUGGGCCGACACUGACGCUCAGGCACGAAAGCGUGGGGAGCAAACAGG